rnacentral:lncRNA from 1 species
UUAAAAUGAAAAAUUAAAUGUGGUGAUCCAAAGAGGUUAUCGAACUCCAGGGAAGAGAGGGAGUGGUUGGAAAGGGGAGGGAAGAGCCUGAUGGGAAAUCUCCAGGCUCUGCCUGUACAAUCUGAUAUUUAACUCUGCAAUGGUCUCUUGGGAACUCCCCUUUCCCUGAGACAGGAUCUUACGAUGGAACUCCUGUUGUGGGCCAGGCUGGCUUCAAACUCACAGAAAUCUGCCUGCUGAAUGCUCAGAUUAAAGGUGUGUGUCAUGACAUACAGCCCUACUGGGAACCUUUGAAAGGAGAGAACUGUUGCCUCAGACCCGACUGAAAUGCAGAUGAAAUCCCCCUGGGCCUGAGAAGAGGAAGGGAAGCACACAGAGGAGGCACUGCAAACCCAUGGAGCAGGAAGCAUCUGAAGAGGAAAACCCUCUGAAGCACAGCUUUACCCAAAGAAGUGUUAAUAAUCGGAAAGAUAGAACCUAGCAAGUGGAGCUUUCAGAUAAUUGGCAGUUACAUUUGUCCCCCAGGUGUUAUCUCGGAUCCACGAAUAGAAAACACACACACACCAAUUAUUCUUAAAACAUCUUUGCUAACUCAAUGGCUGGCCACUCUUAAUUCUUCCCCUGCUAUCCCAGGCCCCGUUGGGGAUGUGGCCAGAGGCAGGCCCAUCUAGAUGCCUUACUGGUGUGGAGAACUCUGUGCUACCUGAGUUGUGAUCACUACCCUCACGUGGGGUUUGUGGUCACAUAUACCGGGACAGGAAUCGGGUCGGGAGUAAAUGAAACUCCUACCGUUCUCAAAUUCUCAGAUUGGGUUUCUGAAUCCGCUCAACCUCAGUUUUUGUCUGGUGACACACAGUACCAAUUGCUGGAAGUGUGUAGUCCCAAACAGGGUAACAUUGAUAACAUCCAAGUGAUGGUAGAAGGGCAGCUCUUUUCUCAAAGACAACAUCAGGUAGUUUAUCAUGAACCAGCAUAAGUAAACAGGGCCUGGAAUGCCCACAAUAAGAAAAAUGUUUGCCUAACUAAUGAAGUUAGUGCCUACUUGUAUACAUGUGCAUGUAUUAUGAAAUUUCCAAUAACUAGCUUCUUCCGGAAAAUUGUAGAGCAUUGUGAAGUAAAUGCCUUUUAGCAGAUAAAUUGUGAUCCAUCCACACUGUGGAGUUUUACACAGCUAGUAGGGAUGAAUGACAGUUGCCCUGGCAACCGACCUGCUGGGUUUCUGUGGGUAUGAGUGGGAGGGGUGAGGCACAGAGAAGUGAGUACUGUGACUCUACACAUAGGAGACAAGCAGCAAGAUGCCUCUGCAUAUGUCUAUGUGAGA